GACGAACGCUGGCGGCGUGCUUAAUGCAUGCAAGUCGAACGAGGUCCAUCCCCUGGCAACAGGGGUGAAGACCUAGUGGCGAACGGGUGAGUAACACGUGAGCAACCUGCCCCGAACUCUGGGAUAACCGGGGGAAACCCUGGCUAAUACCAGAUGCCCCCACCGGGCCGCAUGACCCGGUGAGGAAAGAAUUUCGGUUCGGGAGGGGCUCGCGUCCUAUCAGCUUGUUGGUGAGGUAACGGCUCACCAAGGCGUCGACGGGUAGCUGGUCUGAGAGGACGAUCAGCCACACUGGGACUGAGACACGGCCCAGACUUCUACGGAGGGCAGCAGCAGGGAAUCUUGCGCAAUGGGCGAAAGCCUGACGCAGCAACGCCGCGUGGGGGAUGAAGGCUCUUGGGUUGUAAACCCCUUUCAGCAGGGACGAAACUGACGGUACCUGCAGAAGAAGCCCCGGCCAACUACGUGCCAGCAGCCGCGGUAAGACGUAGGGGGCGAGCGUGUCCGGAUC
rnacentral:rRNA from 1 species